GGGCGGUGCCCCAGGGGCGGAUAGGGGGCGGUGCCCCAGGCCUUCAGCCGGCCCUCGGUGCCCCGAGCUCGCCCUCCGGCCUCCAGCUGGAGAACGGAACCCUGCCUGUUGCUUUGUCUUCUUCUCCGACAGUUUUCCUACCCUGAGGAAAGUGAGAGGCGCUUUCGAUGGUGUUUCCUCUGUGGAAGAGCCGCGUGAAGGAACUGCGAGUUGGGCGCCGUGUGUCUCGGGCCCGAGAAGAGCUGAGGGCCGCGCGCCGGCCAAGACAGCGCUUAGCACCCCCACCCCCAUCUCCAACGCCCGCACCCCCCCCCCCCCAGCGUCCGGGGCGGCGGGGUCGCCGGGCAGAGGCCUCUCAGGUCGUGUGCAGCAGAGAGGCAGAGCCUGGAAGGAAAGGCGCCCUCCUCUGGCGAAGGGAGAGGAAGAUCUAAAAACCACGGUGUGUAAGGUCUUGCAAGCAAGAGGUGCUUCACCUGUACCUUCAACUCUUGCCAGGUCUACCUGGAGGUAGAAGUCCACGUGGCCAGCUGCAUGGUGCUUACGAGUAGAAAUGACCUAUGGAAAUUACUAAUGGUAUGGGUGUUCAAAUUGUAAAAGUAACCUGGCAUUUCUCCAAGAAGAAAGCAUAACAUAGUAACAGGCUGCUCCACAGUGAGUAAUGAGAGGAAUGAUCACAAUGAAGAUGAUCCCAGGGGCCGCCAGACUGUUGAACAAGAGUCAAGAGAGUCUUCGCUCACUCAUCGUCUAACCAUGGGAUGGAAGUUUCUUGUCCUUGCGCCCUCGUUUCCUUUUUUAUGAAUGGGAAAGAUUGGCCUUCCCUCUUGAAAAACUGCAGCAUUUGGGGAUUUAAAGAACUUUCAAUUAAAAACAUUCUUGGGGCACCUGGGUGGCUCAGUCAGUUAAGUAUCUGACUUCGGCUCAAGUCAUGAUCUCACGGCUGGUGAGUUCAAGACCCACAUCGUGCUCUAUGUUGACACCUCAGAGUCUGGAGCCUGUUUAUGAUUCUGUGUCUCCCUCUCUCUCUGUCCCACCCCUGCUUGCCCUCUGUCUCUGUCUCUCAAAAUGAAUAACGUUAAAAAAAAUUUUUUUUAAACAUUCUUUAUUUUCAUGAUCCUCAGUCUUUCUAGCAAGUCUUUAGUGACAAUGACAAAUCCCUGAAAGCUCAAUGCUCUGAAUUGUAACCCCAAGAAACUUAGAGCAGACAGCAAUCUCCAGAGGGUAAAGACCACACCUUAUUUAUUUAUUUAUUUAUUUAUUCAUUCAUUCAUUCAUUCAUUCACUUUUUCUCUCGGCCUAUUGCCUAGCACAGAGGAGGUGCUCAACAAAUGUUCACUGAAUGCAUAAAUGAAUGAAACAAUUCUCUCUCCUUGUUUUGAGAAAGAGUAACAUGUUGUUUAAGAAUUCCUUUGAUUUCAGUGACUACAGAGAGUAUUGUUGGUAAGCACUAUCAACAAAAUAGGUAGGAGGACUUUGAAUAGAACUCUUAUCACAAAAUACAUGCAUUAUGAACUCUUACAUAUGAAAAUUUCUGUAAAUUUGUUUCUGAAAGAAGAGAGAUCUAUCAGUUUUCUAUUUCCCAGUAAAGAUUCUCAUUCUAGACACAACUGCUGAAUUACUUGCAAGAGAUGACAAGUUCCUGAGGCUGAAUUCUGGCAGAGUGGCUCUUUUUGAGUCAUUUCACCUCUAAGAUCUAUGAGAGCAGCUAUUUUGGUCUAUUGAUUUAUAUAAAUCCAGUCAGAAAUCCUGGAGAAAAGAAUCUUUUCCCUUCAGUAUCAGCUUUAUUAAGGUACAAUUUACAUACCGUAAAGCUCACCAAUUUUAAGUGUUAUGAUACUGUGAUUUAUAAGAAAUAUGUAUUUGAUCUUUGUCCUCUUUCCUGGCACAGAGGCUCCUAAGACCUUCAGAAUUUCCCAAGUGCCAGAGCAUUAAAAUGUUUUUUGUUUUGUUAAUGAGGCCGGCAGAGGGGCUGAAGGUUGAAUUGUUGCCCAGAACCAAUGAUUUAAUCAAUAGUAUCCAUGUAAUGGAGCCUCCAUAAAAACCAAAAAGCAACACAGGUUCAGAGUUUCCAGGUUGGUGAACACUUAGAGAUUCUGAGAGAAGUGGCUCACUCAGGACAUGGAGGCUUCAUGCCCUUUCCUCAUACUUUGCCCUUUGCAUCUCUUCCAUCUAGCUGUUACUGAGUUACAUCUUUUAAUAAUAAACUGGUAAUCUAGUUAGUAAACUGUUUCUCCAAGUUAUGUUCUAGCAAAUUAAUUGAACCUGAGGAGGAGGCCAUGGCAACCUUCAGUCUAUAGUAGGUUGUUCAGAAGCCGAAGUGGCAACCUGAACUUGUGAUUUCUGAAGGGGAGAGGAGAGUCUUGCCAUUAGUCCCUUUAAGGACUGAGCCCUUAACAUGUGGGAUCUGAUGCUGUCUCCAGGUAAAUAGGGUCACAACUCAGUUGAAUUGUAGAAUACCCAACUGGUGUGGGAGAAUUGCUUGGUGGUACAGGGGGAAAACACACACAUGUUGGAACUGGUGAUCAGAAUUGUUAAGUAUACAAUUCAGUGAGCUCUGGCAAAUGUAUACAGUUGUGUAAAUCACUAAUAAAAUCAAGAUAUUUUUCCCCUCCCUCCCCCAAAAAAGUUCCAUGCUCCUUUGUAGUUAAUCCCUCCCUCCAAACCCUGGAUCCUAGCAGCUACUGACCUGCUUUUCUGUUUUGCCCUUCUAGAAUUCCAUAUAAAUGGAAUCAUACAAUAUGAAAUUUUUGUUAUCUGUCUUCUUUCACAUAGCAUAAUGCUUUUAAGAUUCAUGUAUGUUUUUCUUUUUUUAUUUUUUAAGUAGGCUCCAUGACCAGCAUGUGGCUUGAACUCAGGACCCUGAGAUCAAGAGUCACAUGCUCUACCAACUGAGCCAGCCAGGCACCCCCCAUGCAUGUUUUUAUAUGAACGUGUAAUUUAUUCCUCUUUAUUGUUCAGUAGUGUUCCAUUGCAUGGAUACAUAAUUUGUUUCUCUACAAGUUGAUGGACACUCUAGUUUUUGGCUAUUAUAAGGAAAAUGUAUGAAUAUAUAUGUUCAAGGGUUUUUUUGUGUGUGUAUGUAUAUUCUUGGAUAAACACCCAGAUGUGGGAUCUUUGCUCAUAUGGUUUAUGUAUUUUUAACCUUAUUUUUUCAAAAAUUCAUGAAAUAGUUUUCCAAAUUGGCCAUAUUAUUUUGCAUUUCCAUCUGCAAGGUAUGAGAGACCCAGUAUUCUACAUUCUUGCCAACAUGUUGCCAACAUAUUGUCAAUUUUUUUUUAAUUUUGGCUUUUUGUGUGCAUAGUGGUAUAUAACUAUAGUUCGACUGGGAAUUGUUAAUGAUGAAUGGUAUGGAGCAUCCUUUUAUGUGCUUAUUUCCAAUUUCUAUGUCUUCUUUCAGAAGUGGCUGUUUAAAAACGUUUGCCCAUUUUUUAAAAUAGAUUCUUUUUGUCUUCUAAUUAUUGAAUUGUAAGAAUUAUUUUAUAUCCUGGAUACAAGUUCUGUAUCAGAUAUGUAUUCUGUAAAUAUUUUCUCCCCAUAUUUGUCUUACCUUUUCAAUUUCUUAAGUUUCUUUGAAGAACAGAAGUUUUUAAUUUAAAUGAAGUCUACUCUACCACUUUUUUUCUCU